AUGGAGGAGGAUGAGGAAGAGGAAGAAGCAGAAGUUGAAGAGGAGAGAAGAGAUGGGGGUGAGGGAGAGAAGGAGGAAGAGGAAGACGAGGAAGCUGUUGGAGGCUUGGGACGCAGACUACGCCUUCGAGACGGAAUACCGCCUCAGAUGGACCUUCUGGAUGGAUCAUACCACCGCAGUUUCCGGCGAGGGGGCGCAGGACCUCCUGGCCGCAGCCACGUGGCUUCAGACUCACUGCUCCACUUGGGCACAGAAAAGCGUUUCAGACGCUCACGGCGUGACAGACCCCGUCUAGAGACUCUGGAGUGGAGAGGAGGGGACAACCCGCAGCCUUCCUGCAGCAACAUUGACGGAGAUGGCAGCCCCAGGCUGACCCUUCACUCCACCUACUACAGACACGAAGACUCCUGCUCCACCUGCUCAUCUUCAUCAGACUCCGAGGAGGAAGGCUUCUUCCUGGGCCAGCGCAUCCCCCUGCCCCCACAACUGACUGGCCAAGAGAGGACCAAGGAUGAAGAGAAAGAUGAGGAGGAGGAGGAGAAAGGGAAGACGAAGAGAGGCAGCCUGAGGAGGAGGAGGACACACAGUCUGAGCAGCAAAGACAAAGACAAAAACUGUAUACUGUCCUGAGAGAGAGAGAGAGAGAGAGAGAGAGAGAGAGAGGGUCAGUCACGGGCUACGUUCACAUUACAGUGGCUCAAAUCCAGUUUUUUGCCUAAUGAUGAUGUGGAUCUAUAUUUUUAUAUCUGUGUGAACACAAAAAAAUCUGAUCUUUUUUCAAAUCAUAUUUGACCCACUUUCAUAUGUAGUCCUAGGUUGGACACCUAUCUGACACAUGGCCAUUAAAGGUGUAACAUAUAUGUUUUUUUUAUGUGUUUUAUAGUUUUAUUAUCUAUAUUCCACUACAGUGUAAAAUCAUAUUUGAAUCAGAUUGCACUAACCAAUAAUGAUCAGAUCACCCAGGAUGUAUGUUAUUGCCAGGUGUGAAUGGAGCCCAACUGAUCAAUAAGCCUUGCAAUGUGAACGGAGCCAUGGAGACACUGCAGAGUUUGCUGCUUCUUGCCUUUGUUCAGUGAGACAAUACAGGAACGGAACUGUUUUAUAGUUGUAUUUGAUCAAUACUGACAUCCAAGCCAAGAAACUACUGCAAUUCACAUAUUGGACUGUAAAUCAUUUUGGACGAUAUUUGUUUUUUAUAUGGGACAGAAAUAGACCUCACGGAUCAUUGAAGCACUUUGCAAUCUUUUAUAUAUGUUUUAAUAAACAGAGAUCUUCCUUCAGUGUUUUAUCAUUUAGAACCAGGAAACCUUCAGCCGAGUGUUUUUAGAAUUGGUGCUUGCAUUUAAAUGCUUUCUAAUGCUUCACUGGAACAAGUAUGUCCAUAAUGUUCAUAGUCCAGCCAGUUGGAAGAUUAUUCCAGUGGUGAAACAAUAUCACAGUCUCAUGUGAAAAGGAAGUGGAGUAAUCAGUAAUCAAGCAGUAAUCUGGACUUUGGAGUAAAGCUCUUUCUUUCCAACUGAGAGUUAAGAAGGAUAGGGAUUUUGAAGGCCAAGCGUGCUUUAAUUGGUGGAAAAAAACAAACCAGCAUACUGAUAAAAUGGAAAUCCACAAUCUGCACAGGAAUGAAAGGAGUAGAAGAGAAAAGCAUUUGCUGUCCCUGUCAUUAGAAAACCUUGUUUAAUUACUCCUUCCAUUUGCAUUGUUUUACAUGCCAGCAUUGCCUGACGAAUGGACCAAUAGAAAAUGCGAGCAUUUUACAUUUGGUUAAGAAUAUUUUGCCUUCUUCUGUAAAGGUAGAGGUAUGAGGUUUUCUUACAACAGUGUCUAUAUACAGCCACACUUCACCACGACUAACCCAGUGUUCUCAUUUAAAGCAGUAACAAUCACCCCAAAUAUAGUCAAUCAGCCAGUACAUAUUUGGUCAUUGAAAUGUGCUUUUUUAUUUUGCACUUAAGCUACGAAGUUUAGGUAGUCAAGAGUAAUAGAAGCUUCUACCUCACCAAUUAGCACUGUGCAGAUAGUAAUCUGAUCAUAAUCGGAUUUCUGCAGCCAUCUGAUUACUCAAAUGGUCACGUAAGCGGCACACUCUGAUUGCUUAGAUCGGAGUAGAAAUCCAAAAAGAGAGCUGGAUUUUAGCUCAGUAAACAGAUUUUUCAGUGCGUGUAAAAUCUUACUCUGAUUUCUUUCAGACUUCUCAGUAAGCGCAUGUGCGAAAACAGACAGCGGCACCAGAAAUAAGCGAGCAGUGUUGCUGAGAGACGCGGCCAAACACUUUUGGAGUAAUGAAACCAUUAACAUGCUUGAUGAAAGAAGGAUUUAAAUAUUCUACAUCUUCUAGAUGAUGUACGUAUGUUCAUAUUCAUAAGGUAGCGCAAUGUUUUUUGAAAAACAGCCGUGGCAUGAAGUUCAAAUUUUAAGUUAUGUUUACGUCACAUCUUCUUCUGUGAGUCUAUUGCAUGGUUGCAAAGCAGAAACCCAAUUACUGUCUGACUCAUGUAGACCCACAGUUUCCCCUUAUCUGAUUGCUCAAUUGAUCAGAUUACUGACAAAAUCUAGUUUUUUUUUCAGUUAUCGGAUUAUGAAAUGCAUGUAAACACACUAAAUGAGUAAAUCAUCUCAAAGUGGCUUCAAACUGGGUUUAGUCGUUAAGUAAUCUCUAAAGGACCUGCUUGUGUGGUUUCUAGCGCUACAUGACACACUGUUAUUUAUACAUUGUUUUUAUAUUGUGAUCAUUAGUGGAAUAUGAAUUGUGCCAUUACUUCUUAGUUACAUGAACCUUGAAGCUCCAAGAAGCAAACUUCAUACUCCAAACAUGUCUUCGCUGAUUAGCUACAUUUGGGAUAAGCAGAAAACUGUUUAAGUAAGACGUUUACUAAGAAACACAGAGCAAAACACCAACGCUCAAGGAUGCAGUGUGUUUCCGCCACAAGGUUUCCAAGUCUGAAAAGCAUGUUUCAAACAGCUGUACGUUUAUAGCCACCAUGUGUUGCCCUGUAUUUGGCACCUUCAUGUUCAGUACAUGCAAUAUUAAAUUGUCGCAUAAACAUUCAUAUCUACAGUUUGAUUUUUCUCCUGCUCUUUUUGAGCUUGAAGGACCCUGAAAUACAAAGAAACCAAGUUUUUGUUGGGCAACCAAAACCACAUUUGUAGUGUUCAGAUUGUGCUCUGUUGAUCCCAUAAUCCAAUGACUCUGCAGCUCCAGACUAAAUCCUCUGCUCCCUACAAGACUGUUAUGUUGACUAUAACAAAACAACCAUUUCUACUUUAGAACCUUCAUCGGUGUGACUAAAAGUUGAAGUGAGGUAAACGGAAGAUGUAACAUUGAAAAACACUGUAAAUUAGAGUCCUAUUUUUUAUAUAAACAUGGGUGAUGGUGCAACUUUCAUGAUCAUGUAAAUAUAUUGUCUUUAGAUAUGUUUUUUUAGGAGCAUUCUUCUUUAUCAGAGAAUAUUAUUUGAAGAUAUCUUUGUUAAUAGGUGGAAAUAAACCACUUGAACUUUUGUCCUUGUUUUUGUCUGCAG
ensembl:lncRNA